GAUGAACGCUGGCGGCGUGCCUAAUACAUGCAAGUCGAGCGAACGGACGAGAAGCUUGCUUCUCUGAUGUUAGCGGCGGACGGGUGAGUAACACGUGGAUAACCUACCUAUCAGACUGGGAUAACUUCGGGACACCGGAGCUAAUACCGGAUAAUAUUUUGAACCGCAUGGUUCAAAAGUGAAAGGCGGUCUUGCUGUCACUUAUAGAUGGAUCCGCGCUGCAUUAGCUAGUUGGUAAGGUAACGGCUUACCAAGGCAACGACGCAUAGCCGACCUGAGAGGGGGAUCGGCCACACUGGAACGGAGACACGGUCCAGACUCCUACGGGAGGCAGCAGUAGGGAAUCGUCCGCAAUGGGCGAAAGCCUGACGGAGCAACGCCGCGUGAGUGAUGAAGGUCUUCGGAGCGUAAAACUCUGUUAUUAGGGAAGAACAGAUGUGUAAGUAACUGUGCACAUCUUGACGGUACCUAAUCAGAAAGCCACGGCUAACUACGUG
rnacentral:rRNA from 1 species